CGCAUGGUAGGAGAGCGUUCCGUAAGCCUGCGAAGGUGCCUUGUAAAGGGUGCUGGAGGUAUCGGAAGUGCGAAUGCUGACAUGAGUAGCGAUAAAGGGGGUGAAAGGCCCCCUCGCCGUAAGCCCAAGGUUUCCUACGCAACGUUCAUCGGCGUAGGGUGAGUCGGCCCCUAAGGCGAGGCAGAAAUGCGUAGCUGAUGGGAAGCAGGUCAAUAUUCCUGCACCGUCGUUAGAUGCGAUGGGGGGACGGAUCGCGGAAGGUUGUCCGGGUGUUGGAAGUCCCGGUCGCUGCAUUGGAGAAGGCGCUUAGGCAAAUCCGGGCGCAGGAUUCAAGGGUGUGGCGCGAGCGCCUUAGGGCGCGAAGCAAUUGGAAGUGGUUCCAAGAAAAGCCUCUAAGCUUCAGUCUAACGAUGACCGUACCGCAAACCGACACAGGUGGGCGAGAUGAGUAUUCUAAGGCGCUUGAGAGAACUCGGGAGAAGGAACUCGGCAAAUUGGUACCGUAACUUCGGGAUAAGGUACGCCCUUGUAGCUUGACUGGCCUGCGCCAGGAGGGUGAAGGGGUUGCAAUAAACUGGUGGCUGCGACUGUUUAAUAAAAACACAGCACUCUGCAAACACGAAAGUGGACGUAUAGGGUGUGACGCCUGCCCGGUGCCGGAAGAUUAAAUGAUGGGGUGCAAGCUCUUGAUUGAAGUCCCGGUAAACGGCGGCCGUAACUAUAACGGUCCUAAGGUAGCGAAAUUCCUUGUCGGGUAAGUUCCGACCUGCACGAAUGGCGUAACGAUGGCCACACUGUCUCCUCCCGAGACUCAGCGAAGUUGAAGUGUUUGUGAUGAUGCAAUCUACCCGCGGCUAGACGGAAAGACCCCAUGAACCUUUACUGUAGCUUUGCAUUGGACUUUGAACCGAUCUGUGUAGGAUAGGUGGGAGGCUAUGAAACCGGAACGCCAGUUUCGGUGGAGCCGUCCUUGAAAUACCACCCUGGUUUGUUUGAGGUUCUAACCUUGGCCCGUGAUCCGGGUCGGGGACAGUGCAUGGUAGGCAGUUUGACUGGGGCGGUCUCCUCCCAAAGCGUAACGGAGGAGUACGAAGGUACGCUAGGUACGGUCGGAAAUCGUGCUGAUAGUGCAAUGGCAUAAGCGUGCUUAACUGCGAGACCGACAAGUCGAGCAGGUGCGAAAGCAGGUCAUAGUGAUCCGGUGGUUCUGUAUGGAAGGGCCAUCGCUCAACGGAUAAAAGGUACUCUGGGGAUAACAGGCUGAUACCGCCCAAGAGUUCAUAUCGACGGCGGUGUUUGGCACCUCGAUGUCGGCUCAUCUCAUCCUGGGGCUGUAGCCGGUCCCAAGGGUAUGGCUGUUCGCCAUUUAAAGAGGUACGUGAGCUGGGUUUAAAACGUCGUGAGACAGUUUGGUCCCUAUCUGCCGUGGGCGUUGGAUAUUUGAAGGGGGCUGCUCCUAGUACGAGAGGACCGGAGUGGACGAACCUCUGGUGUACCGGUUGUGACGCCAGUCGCAUCGCCGGGUAGCUAUGUUCGGAAGAGAUAACCGCUGAAAGCAUCUAAGCGGGAAACUCGCCUUAAGAUGAGAUAUCCCUGGAGGCUUGACCUCCUUGAAGGGUCGUUCGAGACCAGGACGUUGAUAGGUCAGGUGUGUAAGCGCAGUAAUGCGUUCAGCUAACUGAUACUAAUUGCCCGUAAGGCUUGAUCCUAUAACA
rnacentral:rRNA from 1 species